rnacentral:lncRNA from 12 species
CAAAUACUUGCCUUGAAUUCUGGCAGUUGGAAGAAGUAAGUUCAACAAGAGCAGCUGCUUGUGCUGCUACUUAUUUCUCUUCCAGCCCUCUGUGGAAACACUUGCAGUCACCUCUAGGCUUCAAGUGUCAGAGAACACAAUGGUAAAUCCCGCGGAGAAAGGAAAUACAGCAUGCAGCAAGGAGUUGGAUGGGGCUUAUGUGCAACAAGAAGAAGGUGAAACUCAGCACUGGCUCUUAAUUCUGGCCAAUUUUGGGUUGGUUCAGUGCAGAUUUGGGGUGUCCAGUGACCGAUUUUUGAUGUUUGUCCAGGGGUUUCUGGGGUUUUUUAGGCUUUUCCUGCGUGGAUGUUUUAGGAGUUCUUUCCUGAGCUAUUUCCCAGAAAUCCUUGGAAUUUUGGUAGAUUUGGGGUGUUUCAGUGCAGAUUUGUGGACACUGGAUGGCCAUUUCUAGGAUGACCUUUGGGGGGUUUUGGCCAUCCAACAUGGGAUUUUCACCAAAUUUUUCUCCCUGGCUUUUUUUUUUUUUUCUUUUUUCCUCAGAAAUCUCGUUAAUCUGGAUGGGGUUUGGAACCAUUUUUUUGAGUUUUUUGUGUAAUUUUAGAACUAUUUGGGACCAUUUCAUG